rnacentral:rRNA from 1 species
AUUGAACGCUGGCGGCAGGCCUAACACAUGCAAGUCGAACGAGUGGCGGACGGGUGAGUAAUGUCUGGGAAACUGCCCGAUGGAGGGGGAUAACUACUGGAAACGGUAGCUAAUACCGCAUACCAUCGGAUGUGCCCAGAUGGGAUUAGCUAGUAGGUGGGGUAAUGGCUCACCUAGGCGACGAUCCCUAGCUGGUCUGAGAGGAUGACCAGCCACACUGGAACUGAGACACGGUCCAGACUCCUACGGGAGGCAGCAGUGGGGAAUAUUGCACAAUGGGCGCAAGCCUGAUGCAGCCAUGCCGCGUGUAUGAAGAAGGCCUUCGGAUCGUAAAACUCUGUUAUUAGGGAAGCGUUACUCGCAGAAGAAGCACCGGCUAACUCCGUGCCAGCAGCCGCGGUAAUUC